UUUUAUCUGGCAAUGUUGCAAAUUUGCUAGCAAAAAUAUAUCCAAGUUUGUUGACAAAACAUUGCAGCAAAUUGCUGGCAAAACCUGAGCAAAGCUUGUACAUAAUUUGAGACCAAAUUAACGCCAAGUAUAAAGCAAGAUCUGCGCAACACGACUUGAUAGCAAAAUAACAACAAAAACUGAGCAAGACUUGCAGUUCAGUCAAACUAUAUGCAAACUAACUAUUAGAGAACCUAUACAAGCGAUGCUAGAUGUACGCGCAUUUUAUAUAGUUCCCGCUUGGUAAUCAGAGGGUUCCAGGUUCCCGGUUCGAAUCCAGUCGAGAUGAUUUCUAACACAAUGGAUUUUUUCUACAAGGUUUUGCAGUAAGGGUUAAGUACAAGUCUUCCGUAUCGA